AACGCACCUUGCGCUCCUUGGUAUUCCGAGGAGCAUGCCUGUUUGAGUGUCGUGAAAUCAUCAACUCCUUUUUCUUUGUUGGAGAAGUGAGCUUGGAUUUGGGGAUCUGCUGGCAUAGUCAGCUUCCCUUGAAUGCAUUAGCUGGUGCAUGGAAGUGCAGCACAAUAUGCGGUGUGAUAAUGUCGUCACCGUGUAGCUCAAUUCCAUCCGGCUUCGAAUGGUCUCCUUUGUGGGACAAUUUGAUCAACUUGACCUCAAAUCAGGUAGGACUACCCGCUGAACUUAA
rnacentral:misc_RNA from 1 species